rnacentral:rRNA from 1 species
UGAGGAAUAUUGCGCAAUGGCCGAAAGGCUGACGCAGCGACGCCGCGUGAAGGAUGAAAUCCGUUAGGAUGUAAACUUCUUUUGCAGGAGAUGAAUAGUCCCGCUUGCCGGGAUCUGACCGUAUCCUGCGAAUAAGGGUCGGCUAACUACGUGCCAGCAGCCGCGGUAAUACGUAGGACCCGAGCGUUGUCCGGAUUUACUGGGUGUAAAGGGCGUGUAGGUGGAUCUCUAAGUCGGCCGUGAAAUCCUGCGGCUCAACCGCAGAAUUGCCGUCGAUACUGGAGAUCUUGAGUAUGGCAGAGGGAGAUAGAAUUCAUGGUGUAGCGGUGAAAUGUGUAGAUAUCAUGAAGAAUACCGGUUGCGAAGGCGGUCUCCUGGUCCAUUACUGACACUGAGGCGCGAAAGCGUGGGGAGCAAACAGG